CUUCCGUAGGUGAACCUGCGGAAGGAUCAUUACCGAGUGCGGGCCCCUCGGGGCCCAACCUCCCACCCGUGUUGCCCGAACCUAUGUUGCCUCGGCGGGCCCCGCGCCCGCCGACGGCCCCCCUGAACGCUGUCUGAAGUUGCAGUCUGAGACCUAUAACGAAAUUAGUUAAAACUUUCAACAACGGAUCUCUUGGUUCCGGCAUCGAUGAAGAACGCAGCGAAAUGCGAUAACUAAUGUGAAUUGCAGAAUUCAGUGAAUCAUCGAGUCUUUGAACGCACAUUGCGCCCUCUGGUAUUCCGGAGGGCAUGCCUGUCCGAGCGUCAUUGCUGCCCUCAAGCCCGGCUUGUGUGUUGGGCCCCGUCCCCCCCGCCGGGGGGACGGGCCCGAAAGGCAGCGGCGGCACCGCGUCCGGUCCUCGAGCGUAUGGGGCUUCGUCACCCGCUCUAGUAGGCCCGGCCGGCGCCAGCCGACCCCCAACCUUUAAUUAUCUCAGGUUGACCUCGGAUCAGGUAGGGAUACCCGCUGAACUUAAGCAUAUCAAUAAGCCGGAGGAAUCCCGAGUGCGGGCCCCUCGGG
rnacentral:rRNA from 1 species